rnacentral:lncRNA from 1 species
UAACAUUCUGCUUGUCUUCUCUGCAGUAGCAAGGGGAACGAGCAUGCCCCAGAAUACGUGGGAAACCUGUGCAAACUGGUCCUAGGUUUGUAAAAAACAACAACAACAACAAUUGGCUGCAUACUGACCCGGCUUGAAGAAGACAAGAUUUGGAGUCACAGCUCUGUCCAGGCACAAAAGUGUUGCUGUCACCUACGCCCACUUUACUGCUAUCCUCUGGCAUUCGAGAGGGAUGCACUGAUAGUCCUCUGGAAGGGUGACGAUGGUGGUAAAAAAGAUGGAGAGAAAGCUGAUGAACUCACCGUGCAGCUUUAAGUUUAAAUGAGGUAAUGCAGGGAAACAUUAUUUGAAGAUAUAACGUGAUAUACAAGUAUAAAUUAUUAA